GACAACCGGGCCCUGAUGGAGCUGUGUCUGCAGCAGCGCUCUGCGCACACGGCUCUGCCCAGAGAGAGGAGCCAAAGGAGAUGUGGCCUUUGGAAGAGGAGGAGAGUCUACUUCUCCCCUCAAAGGUGUCUCUCAGGCCCCAGCCCCGCUCUGGGCUAGCGGCACGUGGGGGGGAAUGCAUGACCAGUGCCCAGAGCAGGCACUGGGACGUUCCCGACCAUAGCUCUGCUAAAGCCCCUCAGUUUUAGCUGUUGUUUUUAGGAAAGGGUUUACUUAGAAGUUGUAGUGUUUCAAGUUUAAGAAAGGUGAUGGGUUUUUGACAAUGGAGUCCUAGUAGUUAGGCAAAUGGGUCCUUCAUUAGUUGCAGUUUGAAGAGUCUUAAAGUUCAAUAAAGCUCUGGCUUCCCAUACAUUGCCGUGGUCUUUUGCUGUUCCACACAAGACGGGAUGCAGCGAUGCAUGGGUUUGCACGGGAGCUCCACACCAGCACUCAUUCAUCCACAUACUGCUACUUCCAAAAGACCUUGCUUUGGUUUAGAAAAUGAGACAUGCUUAUAGACAUUCUCAGAGGAAGAGAAAGGAAAGCCCUCCGAGGAAGCCUUGGAUGAGAACCAAGAGUUUUUUCCAAAACCAAUGUGGUACCAGCAAGUGGAGAUCGCCGCAUUUGGAAUUCACAGAUAUCUGGGAAUGUCUUGAAGUGGGUGGAACUCCAGGUUUUACAACUGCUGAGGAGAACAUCUCAAAGCCUAAGCUUUGAGCAGGUCCUCCUCCUGCAUCGGGACUUCUCAGCUCUAGUCUCCCAGGAAAAAAUGGCGCAGAACCAGGAUUCACAUACUGAUUUGUACAGUCAGCACACAGCUCCCAUCCUCUGCUCCUCCCUGUGCUAAUGGUAAUCGAGCAAGAGUUGAAGCAACCUUGGUGUCACUCACCACCCCAGCUAGAACCAGCUCCUGGCUGCAGAGAUCUUCUGAAGCCAGGGUAACACAGGUGGAAGACUUCACUGCCUGGAGGAACACCGCUACCAUCAGACAGAUGUUCCUCCUUCAAGCAUGCAGUGAAAUAAAUCCUGUCAGAAGUAGUCCACGUGCAUUCUUCAGGAUGUUUAGAGGCAUCUGUCAGGUUUUUUUUCUGGCAAGCAUCAAGUGACCAAGUUGCAGCUGAAGAAACGCUUCAAGAAGCAAGCAACAGAUGUAGCUGACACCUUGAGAGAGCAUCCUUGACUGCUACCAAGUUUGUAGGCUUCUUGUUCAAAAUACAACUCAUUGAGUGAUCCUUUUGCAAGUCCUCUGCAACUGGAUAGUUCAGACUGACAAAAAUUUGAAAGCAGAAAAAAGAAAGAUUUCAAAUGACCAAAUGCCAGUGGCAACACAGGAUUCCUUCUCCUCAAGUUUGGGCACAAUUUAUUUGGCAAGUGACUGUGUAGCAUCAUAGAACAAUUAAGUUUGAAGAAGACCUCAGAGAAGAUUGGGUCCAACUGCUAAUCCAGCACUGCCAUGUUCACCAGGAGCAUACAAUGAUAAAAACAUCCCCAUCUUUUAAGGGGAUGAAGCCAGCAUGGAAUGAACAGCAGAUUUCAGUGCUCAAGGAAAGGCAUAGCCAGGCAAGAAUUUUGGCAAGCAAAGAAUACAAUAACUCCAGGUUCUAAAAAUUUAAGGAGUUUUAUAGUAUGACUUAGCUAAAACUAAGAACCUUAAUGCUCACUGCAUUUUCAUUGUUAUUAUUAGCUGAAAUGACAGAAACAGUGGGUGCAUUCUCCAGAAGGACUCAUUAGCUGACACAAGGGUAAAACACAACUGCAGCUGAAACUUCCACUUGAAGAAACAGUACUGGUUAUAUAAAACACCCAGGCACCUAUAAGGGGGUCCACUUUAAGAAUGCUUGGUCUAAAAGUGAAGAUUUCUAUCCGUGGUGUUCUCCAUGCUUUCAGACAACUGCAGUUUCCUUUAAUGAAGAAAAGCUUCCUCUCACCUCCUGCUAAAAACAUCCCCAAAGAUAUGUUAAUUUUUCUUUAAUGUAUUAUCUUUUCCAUCACCACAGCUGUCUUGUCUGCCUUUUUCUCAAGGACUGAUGCAAUUGCAAAUACUUUCCUGCAUCCCAUGAUAGAUUUUAUUAAUGACAUCAAACGGUUUCAUGCUUUGCCUCGUUAUUAAGUUCUGUGCUGGUAGCGGAUAUUGCAUUCCUUUGUGCAAGUUCUGUAAUUUUUCUGCGUUUUGAUAAGGCCAUUAAUCACAACACAACUAUGCUGAUCCAGACCAUGCUGGUGCCCAAGACAACACUACAAUAACCACUCUUUAAUAACCAUUCUCCCUGGCCUAACACCUGUAGAGAUUUUCUCUGCUUAGGUAGUAGUCUUUUUAAUAAAUAUGGGAGAACAUGAGGACUAAACUAACAUGACUGUUUCAGUAAAAUCACCUCAAAUAAUUGGAAUAGGGCUGGCCUUAUGAACUCAGUUCAUUAUGUGGAAUUUGACCUCAAAUCCUUGUGACUUCACUGCUAGUUGAAAACAUUCAACAUCUGUCAAUAUUCAGACUUAAAUGAUGUAAAGUACUUGAAAAUUCAUAGUUAAAAAGGAAUAUAAAUAGCACUGAAAGCUUUGUUCCUCAGUAGAGUGACACUGAAAACCUUCUGCUGACUGCAAGCAUUAGGUCUUGCAUUUGCUAACCAAAAUCUUGGCUUCUUUCAAAAUAGCUGCUGACAGGUCAACAUCUAAAGAAAUCACCCUGACAAAGAACACAAUUGAGCAGCAUUUAGUAGGCUGCUAGCCUAAUUUCUUUUUUAAUUUUUUAGGUUUUGCACCAUUCUGUCUGGGUACUGAGAAUUACUGAGACAUGAACUUCAAAAUUUUGUUUUCCAUGACCCCACAGAGGUCACAUGCAUGCCUCCAUAUGCACAUCCAUGCCUCAUGCACAUCCAUUCAUACGUACAGCACACACUGUGUUACAUAUGAACCUCAAAAAAAAUGAGGACUGUAGUAUUGUGGAGGAAGAAAGGCACAUACUGAAUCCAUUUCCUUCUUGUUGCCAAGGUCUGCUUCCUUUGCAGCACCUACAGCCACCUGCUUUAUUUGGGAUGCCUGAAGUACAGAGGUUAACUAUCCCAGGAUAAAGCACACUCAGCACUUCAGAGGAUUAAAGCCCAGCAGAUGUUAACUGCAGCAGGGUACAAAAGGAGCCCCUUGCAUUUCCCCUGCACACAGCCAGCCUACUGCAAGAGACUGAGCAGGGCAGUGGAGCUCCUGGCAGUCUGACUCCUUCCCUGAGCCCACUAAGUGUUUAACAUGCUGCGUCUGAGCAAGUCUUUGAUUUAGUAGCUGCCCUCUGCAGCAGCCAACAGCAAAUAACCCAGAGAGAGCAUGUGUGGAACACAGAGGUUUUCUUCCUCCACAAUAUUCUUGCAGCCUACAGAGAUUUUAGGGUCAGCCGAGUUCCCGAGUCAAAGGCUGUGUUCCAGUGUCCUACAACCCUGACUGAAUCUCCCAGAAAUACAGGGAAUUGUUAAAGCAACCUGGAAGGUAGACAUGCCCCAAACCUGGACAAAUGAACAGAGGAACAUGCACAGAGUGGUUUUCCUCCUUAGUUCCAUUUCUUUUUUCCAACCUUCCACCAUUUGAUGCCUCUGGCUCUGUUAAAGGACAGUCAGAAGAAAAGUCUGACUGACCACCUCAGUCACCUCUCUUCCAUUUUAGAUUAUCUAAUUAUCCCUUGUUCAGAGGACAGGGUCUAGGGCAGACACAUGUGGCUGAAUGGAAGAACUGCCUACUUCAGGCCAUGCAUGCAGCUCUUUUUCUAGAGCUAGCACCUGUCUAACCCAACAAGCAGUGAGCUCAGGAGGGCUCCUGGCAGACAGUUCAGCUCUGAGUGGACAAUGCAUGGGAGCCAGAGCACAGGAGAGGGUGAGACUGUGUUGUGCUGAGCAGCAAUAAAAGCCACUCAGCUUCUUUGGAACUCUGCAGACAGGACUGCUCUGUAAUGUUUCCUCAUGUUUUCCUAUGAAGAAAACAAGCUCACCCCAUGCAUGGGUGGGUAUAAAUCACAGGUGAUGUCAGGGGCUGCCUUACAAAUAAAUCUAAUGGUUGACCUUUUUGGCUGUGAAAAAGUCUGGGUUUACAGGUACAGAGUCAGCUAUGGUUUUGCAGCAAGAAAAAAAGUGCACUCAUCAUGUUCAUCUAUCACACAAGCCUGUAACAGUCAAGUGAUUUUAGGACCCUCUUAUGGAAUAUUACAGCUUACUGUGCUUGGAAACAGGCAAUAUAAUUUCCCAAGUUUCAACAAAUUCUAUUAGUUACCCCACAUUUAAUUUUUCUUCAAGAAACUUGCUAAUACCAUCUCAUUUCCGAAGCCUCCAGAUAGCCAGCUUUGGUUUGUGAAAGGAGGAAGAAAGCAUGUUUGUUUUGCUUUGUUGUACAACAAAGUUUACUCUUAAACUGCUUUUUAACUAUUACUAGCAUUCCCAUAUAAUAGUGUUAAACACCUAGUGUUUAACAGUACAGCAGUAGAAACAGAGCUUCUUCCUGGCUCUCUGUUGGCUGUGAUUCACUUCCCAGGCAGCCCAAAGUACAUUAGCUGUGUGACUGAAAACAGGAUUAGGUGUUCUGCCCAUAAACCAAUAAAAGCAUGUCCUUCAUGCAGUAUUUCAUAAAGCUCUUACUGGUAAAGUGCAGGUGACACUAUGAUACUAUUAAGUUACACUAAGAGCAGGGGACCCAAAAGAGAGGGACAGGAGUCACCUGGAACUUGAUGCCACAGGAGUGGAUAUAACACACCAAGGAAGAAUUCUGAUCCAAGCAUCCAUACUUUUUGCAUGAAACUUUCACUUCUAAUAGUGAAACUAUUAGAAUGUAAGCCUAUAUAUAAUUGGAUAUGGUAACUGGAAAACAGACUUAAAAGAUGGGAUGUGCAAAUGUCCCAGAAAUACAGGAAAUUAUUACAGUAGCCUGGAAUGCAGAGAAGGCCCAGCCCUUGACAACUGCUAGGUUAACCAGAAUCAAAACAUGUUCUAUAUUGUUAUUCCUCUGGAAUGUUACCCUUGCUGAGCCCUCACACAUAUUGGAAAUCUGCCCAUCAGUUAUGGAGUUAAUGCUUUCAUAACAGCAACAACAUCUAAAAGAAGAGAGAAAGCAAACCCUAAGCAUAUCUUUUAUUUAGAGCAGUGUGUUAGUGAUAGCAAAGCACUCUUCCUGGAAGUCAAAUCGCCAAAAACUGCACCAAAUCAAGCAGAGACUACAAUGACUGAUCCUCCUCUCACUUCCCUUUCAGAAUAAUAAAAUCUGUGUUGUUUAGAACCAUUUCUUAGAUUUGAGAAAAGGAAGGUUAAGAACAGAUGUCAGAACCCUCUUCAGUUGUGAGACCCCAUCCCCAAACCCACGCAAUCCAUGAAUAAACUCAAGAGGAUCAUGCAGUCCCAGAACAUACUUUUGUGAAAAUGAGCCAAAUUUAUCUGAGCAUAAGCUAGAAUUAGAAAAAUAGCAGAUGGCAAAUUGCAGCACCACUGAAAUUCCAACAGCUUGUUUUGAAAUGCUAAUUCUUAAAAUAAGGCUUUAGAGUUGAAAUAGAAUUCUCUAGAGAUCCAGAAAACUUGGUUCAGACACAGGAACUCAGAUUAUUGUCAGAAAUUGAGUGGACAUUAUUAGCCAGCUGCAGUUUUCUAUAUUCUCCUUGCAUCAGAGGGCUGUUCUAGGGGUUCCUCUGGCAGUCAUAAAUUGGAACUUUUAUUUUUAAGGUAUUCUCACUUCUGCCAGGCUUGAAAGAACUCCUUACAUCCUCCUGCUGUCAUUCAGCCCUGAAGUUGGUUGUACUUCAGAUGCAGUAACUUCAUAACCUUGUUACCUCUCUGCUGUGGGUCCUUACAUUGGGGAGCAAAUUCCCUCACAGAGACUAAGGUGCUUUAUUUUCCCUCUUAGGUCAUAGCUACAUUAAUUAAAAGGAAAAGGACUAAAAUCCUUGGGGUUAGUGUCCUUGGCAGACUGAAUGAAGCCAAAUUCCCUAUAGGCUUCCUGCUUAUGCUGAACCACUGAUUCACACUGCACCCAGUUUUUUUGCUUUCCUGAGAGAAACAAACCAGUUUUGGGAGUGAGGGGAAGAACCUCCCUUUCCAUACCUUUCUUCUCUCCUAAGCCUGUUCAAGAAUUAAAAGCAAACAUAACAGAUGUUCUUUUGUCCUCCAGGAAAUGCUUUUCCCCCUAUACUACCACCAGACAAAUCCAGUAUACUCCAAAAGCCACCCUGGGCACACUGCUGUUCCCACGCCCUUGUGGAAGGACAAGCAACACAGGAAAGCCUUGCUUUGAAGCAGCAAGCCAGGGCACCUCAUGGCUCAGAGGAAAUGAAGCACUUGUGUUAUCAAUCCCUCCCAAAGCAGCUUGCUCACAGCUCCAGGGGAAGAAGAACUCAGGGAAUGAAAGGCAGGAGCCGGAGGCAGGAGCUCAGGCCGGUUUGCCAGGAACACAGAGCCUCGCCCUGCUGCCCCUCACACAUGGAAAAAUCCUGGCUACCAGUGAACCAAGAACAGAAUUUAAAAGCAAAACAACUCCCCUCUGGGACUGAUCUCACCACCCCAUAAUUCAUCCUUCACCUACCAGCAACUUCCCUGGUGGUGCCCCUGCCAUCUCUCCUAGGAAACACGUGUAGCUCCGUAUUCUGGGUCAAAAACAUUCCCCAAAGCAACACCUCCAGCAACCAUCUUUCCCAAGGCCACACUUCCUUUUGGAGCAAAACCAAGAAGCAGCUGAGCCCAGCUCUUCUUCCAGAAGGUUCUGGCCAGAUGGGCUCAGCCCUUGGCCCAGCUGCCGGCGCUCCCUGACACAGGUGCUGGCACUCAGCUGGAUGACUCCAAUCAGGCACAGCUUGCAAUUUAAUGAGUUGCAAGGGAAAGCAAAGCAAAUACCAAGUUGUUUAAUAAGGUGAUUUUUUUCUCAUGGGCAGUUGUGGAGGCCAGAGCUGUGAGCACCCCACAAAUGGUGCUGUAGAGACCACAGAGCCUGCCUGUGGGGACUCAGCAACAUGGUAGCACUGCUUCUGACUUCCAGGAGAGUUUUCAGGUUUUCCUCCUCGAGUUUCCUGCUGUUCUAGUCCCAUACCAGACUCUAUAAAUAAUUGUCUGUGUAUUUCUCUUUUUUGUUUCACUGUAGAGGUGGAUUUAUCAUAGUCAGUAUUUCUUAAGGCACAGCUGUUUCAGCUGACAGUGAUCAAGGCUAAUAUUGAAGUCAGGUCACAAUUUACAUUACAAACACUGGUUUCUGGAAUCUUACUACCCUUGCAUAAAAAUGUCCUGCAAGCAGAAAUAAAGCUUUGUGGAAAAAAAAAAAUUAGAAGAACUAAAAUAUUAAAAAACAAAAACAGUGACACAGUUUUGCACCUACUAACAGUGGUUUUAUGAACCUGUUUUCACUUUUCACCAGUCAGCAAUCUGACCCUUUAAAGCUCAUAUUUUCUCAGUGCAAAACAAAGUAGAUGCAUGCAGAUGAUGUCCAAGUGCCCAUUAGAAAGGAUUGGCAGCUGCAGCCAAAGCCUCGUGGCCACCAGGACAGGACAGUUUGUACUGCUUAAACAAAUGUGCUAAUGAAGGUUUGCUUUAGAAAAAAUGAGAAACAUUUGAGCACCCUGAACAUUAAAUCCUCAUUUAAUGAUGGGAAGUGUUGUGUUUCUUUCCAACACCCAGGCACAGUGCCACAGCUUCAACAAGCUGCUUAAUUUUCUCUCUGAUGCCUAAAUCUAUGUGAUGGAUAUAUGGUGCCAUAUCACCCUCAGCUGGGAAUUGCCUGAACUUUAUUGUUUUCUGUCACAGUGUGUAUGCUUUUCCAAUGUUUCAGUGAUUGUAAAAGAUCAGUAAAGAAGGACUACUUUGAAAGUCUUUGAAAAGGAAAAAAAAAUCCAUGAGGGAAAUUCAAGCAACAGUAAACCUGAGACCUGUUGUGCAGCACAAAACAUUUAAUGAGAAGCAGAAGCAGCCUUUCAACUGUGACAAAUAAUGAGAGAUGCCACUGCAGGACCACUGCUGGAAGACAUUUAAGAGAGCAUCAGAAGAGUGAGUGCUCAGUUUUUGGGAAGCAUUUUGUUCCCAGGGUCCCAUCCUUUUGGAUCAAUAGAACAUUUAUUGUUGGCAGUGAUUAUGAGUUACCACUGAUGCUGUUAUAUGGACACCUUAAAGGCAUUUUCAUCAGUCUUUCCUUCUAAAUUAAAGUUGGUGUGCAAAGGCUGUGGUCCAAAUUCAACAGGAACAUAAACAGUACAGCACUUAUAUAUUAAUGAUGAACUGGGAUCUUUGGGGCAAUUUCAUCCCAUCCUUAAGGGAGGCCAGUGCUGGCCCACGGGGUAGUGCCACAAGACAUUGUGCCUGCAAGACAUUGCCACCCCUGCUCUAGUUCUAAGAUCAACAUUUGUCAACUGACCUGGCAGAAACUUUUUAUUUGGUCAAAUUUCAUCACAAUGCAGUGCAAAUGGCAGAAGUAGCCUACAGGAGAUGAGCGGGAUAGUAAAUAUUUCAACUGGAGAAUGCAGAAAACUUGAAACUGAAUAUUCUUGAUCCUACUUGCUAACACACUCUCCUGGGAGACUCAGGUUCUGCCUUCAAACUGGAUGGACAAGUGAAUUAAGAGUGAAAAAAGCCUGUGCUCCUCAGAGUCUGGUGCUGCCCACCUCCCUUGUGCUUCUGGAGGGCUGUGCCACUGGGAAAAACAGGAAAAUAUAAAAUUUUGCAUCAUCUUUGACUUGGUAGGAGUGCCUUGGUGUUUAAGCUACAAGAGUUUUUCACAUGGACAAUGGCUGAAGCUUCAGUGAGUCCUGACUGGGACUGGGUUGGGUGGCAGCUCCAGUCUCACAGGAGAAAGCUCUCAUGAAAAGCCUCUGAGUGCACGAGCCUAUUCUCUCAGAUGCUGAAUUCCUUCUGUUUUAUCUCUUGCUGUCCUCAAGGUUAUCCAGCUCCUCUUUAUCAUACUGCAAUUCUCUUGUACAGUAACAAUGUUUCCCAGCUGUAUUCCAACAGGGGGUUUCAUUAGCAAACUCUUCAUUAUUUCAGAGAGGUCAUUAAUGAAAGUCUCACGUGUUUGGCCCCAGGCAGAUUCCUUGAAGAUCUCUAGUAGUCAAACCCCCUCUAGCCUCAUAACUCCUCCUAAGGAGGUGCCAGCCUCACUUUACAUCCUCAAAUCCUGAAGCUUCCUCAUAAUACCCAGUGUAUGAUUUAUCUUAAUCUGCUAAGCACUGAAUUAAUAUUGCAUUGUAACAUUAUAAUGAGCCACUUGCAGAAAGGUGUGGAUUUCAUAAAAUGCAGCAUUUCUAUCCUAAUGCAAGCAGGAAAAAUAUGAUGGCCUAAAAUAACAACUUACGAGAGGACUAGAAGUGAAAACAUUUGUAUUAUAUCAGAAUCAGACAAAACAGUAUGAGCUGACCUGAAAUAUAGUGGUCCCAGUGAAAGCCACACACUGUGAUCCCAGCAACAUCAAAGAGGCAGCAAAAGGCUCAUUAUUAAUUUACCAGGAAAUAGUAAAGAAAGGAAAUUGUUGGGUUUUUUUCCAAGAAGCAGAAAUCCUGAUGUGUCAUACACUUUUGUUAAAAUACAACAAUAGAUGAACAUUAAUUAACUCGUAACAUGCUUUAAUCAAAGGGAAUGCUUCAUUAUUGCCCAAAAUAAAACAAAAGGCCUCUUUAGACUUGUGUGGCAUGCCAGAUAAUUAGCACAGCCACCCACCAACUUGGCCAGCUGAAGAAAGGAAUAUUCACCAGCCACAACCACCAAUUUUGGUGGGUUUUUUUUGGGAGGGAACGACCAUUUUUGGUCCAGUCACCACCUGGUUCUUACAGCAUGGAAAAGAGUUCUGAUAGCAGAGUGAUCACUGACAUGGCUUGCCUGGAGCCCCUGGAAUGAGUAAGGCACCAGAACCCUUAGUGAGUGACAAUUAUCAAAAGUAUGGGGUACACUUAAUUGAACCAACUUAAUUGAACAGCUACAGGAGUCGGCAGGGAUGCUCAGUUCUUGUGCUGCUUCCUGAUGCUGUUAGAUCAGGAUCUUCUUUCCUCCCCGUUCUCUUCAACUCCCUCAUCAUUGUUCACUGACCUACGUUACAGUGCACAAUCUGUUUCCUCUGUCCAGUCCAGAAUUCUGUCACAUCCACCUUGGCACCAAGCCUUAUUUCUUGCUCCUUGUGCCAUCUGACCAGUUUCCUUUCUCUGUUUUGUUUCAUUUUUAAACUCCUGGCAAUUUCUUAAAUUCCUUUAUUCUAUACUAUACUUAACAUUAUGUUAGCUUGAUAAAAUACAGUUAACUUGUAGUCACAAGUCUUCUUUCUAAUCUGAUGUCUCAAAGGUAUCUGGCAAGUUUAUUUGGGGCAUGCAAUCCUGAAAAACACUCUUUAUGUUGGAUAAAUCAAUAAGUAACCAAAGCCAAACACAGCUGUAUGCCAAAAUUACAUUGAUCUGUUAUUUCAUAUACUAUAAAAACAUAUAUGCACCUGAGUAUAAGAAAAAACCAUGCAAAUUACUAUUCAAACAUUUUUAAAAGCUAAAACAUUAUGAACAAUACAGUACUGUUAGGCUAAGAUUUUUAAAACAUAUUUAUAUAUUACUUGUAAGAGCAAUUUACAAGGGUAUGAAAAGUACAGCCAAGAAUUAAUGAAUUAGGAGAUACCAGGAUUCAAACUGCACAAAUUCAUUAUUAUCUACAACUUUACUGCAUGCACAGGUACUAUUUCUCCUACCUGAGCUGUGCUUUCUUCAGAUUGCUCUCUUAUUGACCUGCUCACCACUAUUUGAUUUUGUUCUUACUCGUUCACUGGGCAAAAGCCAGCCCUGUACUCAGCACACACUGUUCCAUUACUGCUUUAAAGGAGCAAUAUUGGCCUUCAGUGGGCGUGAAUCUUGCCCCCUCUCCUCCCACAUGAAGCUGAUGUCACAGCAGAGGGCACGUCUGUGCCGGGCAGUGGAGAAGGGCAAAUGUGGCUGUUCAGUACCUCCCUGGCAAACACAGAUCCUGCUGCAGAGGGUAACAAAAGCAGGUUCUGAGAUGCCUCUCCCACCACCUGAAGCCAAGCAUCCUGGUUCUCCCAUUUCAUGCUUCCAGCACUGGCAAGUUGUUCACCAAACCAUGUACAGUGGCAUAUUUAUGAUGUGAAAGGUAUCUGGUAAAAAUCACCUAUUCAACAGAAAGUACAGCAUUCCAAAAUGUCCAGGCACCUCCCAGAGCUGCUCAGUCACAUGGUAACUGCCAUGGGCUGGAUGAACACAAGGAAUGAAUAAAUUCAUGAUCCACAUCUGCACCAUUUGUGGUUUCAAGAUAUGUUGCAAUAUAAAAAGGAUUUCCAUAGCAGCCAGAUACAAUCAAUGGAAACAAGUAAAGCAGAGCUGCAGAAAGUACUCCGAAAGAGGGGUCAGAGUUAAUGGUCUCAGCUUCAUGUCAGAGAAAUGUCAUAAAGCCUCCAUCACACCUGCAGCUGGCAGUGCUAUAAACUGAGAAUCAGAAUGGGGAAAGGGUAAACAAAACACCGAUUGCACUGCCUGGUAUGACAAGCGCAUUACUCCUCACAGGAUUAUUCCACAGAUUCCAUGACAACAAAAAGAACUAAGAUAUUUAUAACUUUGAAAGCAAGCCUCUGUCUUAAUGCCACAGUUUGCAUUCACAGGCCAAGGACAAUUCCAAAAAGCUUUGUGCAGAGGCACCUCAGGUGUUUAAGGGAUUAGGAGUGCUUUGAUUCAUGUGUGAGCUGCAAUGGGACUGUCAGAACCCAGGACACCCCUCUGGGUGCCCUGGAUGACACGUGCCCCUGGCAGGGGCUCAGAGUCCUGGCAGGAAGCCGAAGACACUUGGGAUUUUGAUCUUAACCCAUGGAGCAAAUUACCAACCUUGUAUGAAGAAUCACAAGUCACUAAAGUUUAAGUAGCAUAGUAGUAGUUGUCACAGGGUGAAAGGUGGAAUUUUGGGAUUUUUGGAACGGGGGUUUGGAGUCCCAAGAUGGAGGAAUUUGGGUGUUCCCUGUCCUUUCUUCUUCCUAGCCUCCAUCUUCUUGGUGAUGCUGGCACAUUUAGAUUGGUUUAGAGUAGAAGUAGACAGUCUAACAUAGGUGAUAGGUAUUGGUAAAAAUUUGUAAAUAAAUACAUGUAGUUUUUAAUAUAAA